GAUCUCUCUGCUUCCAAGAUCUUACUUCCUAAAGAAGAACUUUUUUUUUCCCUUGGCACAGUAAAGAGGAAGAUUAUCUCUCUUACUUGUUGAUGCUUCCGUGUGGAUGUUAUAGAGCUGGUCUGUGGAAGAGCAGGAUGAAUUUGUGCUAGCAUAAGGCCUUCGCUUAGUUUUCCUUCUUGCAUGGAAGAAGAAAAGACCCUUCAAUAGCUGCUGAACUGUGAUGUGUGGAGCUCAGAAAAUGUGCUGCCAGGAAGGAGGGUGAGGGACAUUUGUUACCUGUUCUUCCACCACAGACAUAUUCAUGUGAGGGACGAGCCGGAUUGAAAAUUUUCCUGUAACUCGGCCAGGUCCAGAUCGAUGGAUUUGUAUAUAUUUCUUUCCUUUUCUGUAAGAGGAGCCACGUGGUCAUAGAUUCCAGGGAUCAGGAUACGACCAGAAGAGUCUACAAGGCUAC